AACGAACGCUGGCGGCAUGCCUAACACAUGCAAGUCGAACGAGACCUUCGGGUCUAGUGGCGCACGGGUGCGUAACGCGUGGGAACCUGCCCUUAGGUUCGGAAUAACUCCCCGAAAGGGGUGCUAAUACCGGAUAAUGUCUUCGGACCAAAGAUUUAUCGCCUUUGGAUGGGCCCGCGUUGGAUUAGCUAGUUGGUAGGGUAAAAGCCUACCAAGGCGACGAUCCAUAGCUGGUCUGAGAGGAUGAUCAGCCACACUGGGACUGAGACACGGCCCAGACUCAUAGGGGAGGGAGCAGGGGGGAAUAUGGGAAAAGGGGCGAAAGCCUGACCCAGCAAUGCCGGGGGAGUGAUGAAGGCUUUAGGGUUUUAAAGCUCUUUUACCCGGGAUGAUAAGAAAAGGACCGGGAAAAAAAGCCCCGGUAAACCCCGU
rnacentral:rRNA from 1 species